UACGUAGGGCGCAAGCGUUGUCCGGAAUUACUGGGCGUAAAGAGCUCGUAGGUGGUUUGUCACGUUGUUCGUGAAAACUCACAGCUUAACUGUGGGCGUGCGGGCGAUACGGGCAGACUAGAGUGAUGUAGGGGAGACUGGAAUUCCUGGUGUAGCGGUGAAAUGCGCAGAUAUCAGGAGGAACACCAAUAGCGAAGGCAGCUCGCUGGGACGUUACUGACACUGAGGCGCGAAAGCGUGGGGAGCGAACAGG
rnacentral:rRNA from 1 species